rnacentral:tRNA from 1 species
GGGCCUUUAGCUCAGUUGGUUAGAGCGUUCCUCUGAUAAGGGAAAGGUCCCAGGUUCGAAUCCUGGAAGGCCCACCA